GUGGGAGGGGGCUUGCUCCCGAUAGCGGUGUAUCAGUCAGCAUCCUUGUAGCUGACAGAUCUCUAUCGGGAGCAAGCCCCCUCCCAC
rnacentral:antisense_RNA from 1 species